UGGUUCCACUCUGAAAUCCUGUCGAGCUCGUGUUGAGUUAGAUUUAUCUGCCCCAUUACAAGUAGGUCGACUUAUAAAACUCACUAAUCGAACUCUGUGACUGGAUUUUCGGUACGAAAGAUGACCUCAUUAUUGCUAUUCUUGCGGACGACUAGGACACUAUACCGAUUCUUGUCCAUCCACCCCUUUUGAGGAGAAAAUGAUCACGGAACCUGACUCUACCCCUUACGGUCCCUGGUUAAAAGCCGAAGUCCAGAAGUAUAGUCCUUAUUGGCAGUGUUAUUAUGGCCAACCAAAGUUGGAUGAGGACAGAGAAGAAACUGUACCCGAAACUCCUCCAUCUGAGAUCCGCACUCUUCCUCUUCUUCUACCACCAAUCCCUGUAUCAACAUCUCAGUCACAAGUUAUUGCUCCCAUCUCUACACAGACACUAAUUGCUACAUCUACCAUACCUAUAUUCGAACCACCUACCUUAACAACAGCUUUAAUCCCAGCUACAGCAAAGAUGAAAGGAGUGCAAUUGCCAACUUCACCCAACCAGGCAAGAAAAGGCCUCAGUACUCGACCAGUAAGUAAGAUAAGUCCCGCGAAGAAACCAAAGCGCUAUAAUCCCUAUGACUUACCAGGAGGAUAUUCGGGGGCUUAUGAUGAUUCCCUAUUGUUGGAUGCACCAAUUAUGGAGGCGUCAGAAGUAACUCUUCGGGCGACGGUGGCUGGCCCUAAACAGUCACCAAAUCAAAGAUGAAGAUUAUAGGAUGGAACUGUCAGGGUUUGGGCAAUCCCCUGACAGUCCUAUCUUUAAAAGCCCUCUUGGCUAAGGAAAAGCCUGACCUGUGUUUUUUGAUGGAGACGAAGAAUGUCGAUGCUCUUCUCCUCCGGUUGAAACGGUCCUCUGGUUUUUUGCAUCACAGACUAGUCACCCCUGUUGGUUCCUCUGGUGGCUUAGCUCUUUUUUGGAAUGCAGGGAUCUCUCUGUCUGACUUCUCCUCCUCUCCGCAUCUCUUGGACUUUACCUGCCUUGACAUCUUAGAGUCCAGAUCCAUGCGGAUCUCUUGUAUUCAUGCUCCUGCAGUUUAUCAUGAUCGUCAGCUUUUUUGGCAAACUGUGCGUCAUAUUAGUAAUCUUAAUGCCUUACCUUGGUUAUGCUUCGGCGACUUUAAUGAGAUUUUGCACCGAUGGGAAAAAGUAGGCUCUCGACCAGCGGACUCUUAUCGGCUAUUUUCUUUCAGAGAAGUUCUCAAUGAUUGCAGUUUGAUGGAUCUUCCCUCCCAUGGCUGUGCCUAUACAUGGUCCAAUAACAGAGAGGCUGAAGCUUUGGUGAAGGAGCGUUUGGAUCGCGCUGUUUGCACUGCCGAAUGACGUAUCUCUUACCCUAGAGCUCAAGUGAUAGCUCUACCUGCAGUUGGCUCCGAUCAUAGUCCACUGGUUAUUCAUACAAAUCCCUCAUUGGCUCGUCAAAAGAGAUGCUUUACCUUUGAAGCUUUCUGGAACCAAGAACCUGGCUGUCAAUCCGUGAUAGAGUCUUCCUGGAACUCAGCCUCGCGACGGGACUCCCCUCUCUCGGUCAAGCUUCGAGCAGUAGCCAUUGCUUUAUCGAAUUGGAGUCGCCAGGUUUUCUCGCAUAACAGACAGAAGGCACUGGAAUUAGAACACGAGCUGACCAAUUUAUCCAACCAGUUUCCUACUUCUCUAAACAUAUCACAGCAACAGAGAAUUAAAACAGAACUUCACCAAGCAUGGCAGAGGGAAGAGCAAUAUUGGGCAAUGCGCUCUAGAAUCAACUAGCUUCAGUGGGGCGACCGAAACACUAAAUUUUUCCAUGCUACCACUCUGCAAAGACGUCAACGUAAUCAGAUCACUCUCUUAAGAGAUGAAAAUCAGCAAUGGGUUAGGUUAGGGAUCCGGACCAAAUAAAACAAAUGAUUUCUACCUACUACUAUCAGCUUUACUCUACUUCAGGGCCUAGACAUUAUGAGUAGAUAUUAGAGCAGUGUCCUUAGCUAGUGGAUGCAGAUAUGAACGCAGACCUCCUCGCUCAACCCACUCUUGAAGAAGUUUGCGCUGCCACUUUCCAACUCGGUGCGUCAAAGGCACCAGGAACCGACGGUUUGAAUGGCUUGUUUUAUAGAGCGCAUUGGGAGAUCAUUAAAGUGGAUGUUCACAGAGCUGUACAACAAUUUUUUCAGCAUGGAAUAUUACCCCCCUCUCUCAACAGAACUGCUAUUACUCUAAUUCCCAAAGCCCAUAACCCAGAAAGCUUGGACCAGUAUCGCCCAAUUAGCUUAUGCAACUUUGGCUAUAAAAUUUUUGCUAAAGUGCUUGCUAACCGAUUGAAACCCUUAUUGCCUAAUCUGAUUACUGAGGAGCAGAGCGCCUUUGUUGCUGGUAGACAAAUUCAGGAUAAUGUCCUAGUUGUACAGGAGAUCAUUCACCAACUCAGAACAAGGAAACGGAAAAGGCAUUUUCAGGCUAUUCUCAAGGUCGAUAUGGAGAAAGCCUAUGACUGUGUAGAGUGGGACUUUCUACGCGACUACUUACUCCGCUUGGGAUUUCACUCUCAUUGGGUCCAUCUAAUCAUGCAGUGCAUCUCUACGCCAUCUUUCUCUAUUAAAAUGAAUGGCGAAUUGUUACCAACUUUCCACCCUACUCGUGGCCUAAGGCAGGGAGAUCCAUUAUCCCCCUACCUGUUUAUCAUCAUUGCAAAUCUAUUAUCCCUUCAACUGAGGAACG
rnacentral:lncRNA from 1 species